UUGUUAUUAUCUUGAAUAUUAUUAUAGAUAGAGAUAAACUGUAAACAGCAAUAAUGUACAGCAAAGUAAGAACUAAAAAAAAGUCAACAUGACCAAAAUAGUCAAUAGACCCCCUAAGGAGUUAUUGCCCUUCAAAGUAAAUAUUUAACAAUUUUCACAAAAUUUGUAGAUUUUCACUAACAUUUUCCACAGAAACUACUGUUAUUAAUAGAGAUAAUUGUAAGCAGCAAACAUGUUUAGUAAAGUAAGAUCUACAAACCCAUCACCAUCACCAAAACACAAUUUUGUCAUGAAUCCAUCUGUGUACAAUGUUUAAUAUUAACAUAGACCAAGGAUUUCGGAGCGAACGAAAAAGUAAUACGCUUCUGGAAACCGGAAAAGAAAUGGUAUAAUGCAACAGUCCUAGAAAAAACUAAAUCAGGUUACAAAGUCGUAUUUGCAGACGGAAACUUAGUAAGAGUGUUAAGUCUACAGAAUCUACGAAAAAAGACAUCGAGAUGAAUUCAGCUGAAGGUGUUUUGUUUAACAAAACACUUUCAUAUAUAUAUGAACUUACAAGAAACUCACAAGUCAUCUGAUAAUGUUCUCAAAACGGGAUAUAAUAAAUAAUAUCAACAACACAAGGAAGCUGUAUUUCCUUGUCCUUGAACAAAAGACAUUUCACAUCAGUCAAAUGAUCUUAUAUAUCUAUACAUGUAUACAAGAAUGAACAAGGUUAUAUAUAUUGUUUAAUUUAUAUUGGGACAUUAUCAUGAUAUCCCAAUGAUAAAAAACAAACAUUCACAGAAUAAGCUUGUUUGGUCUGAAUGUGGUUGUAAUUUAAUAUGACAAACUGUAUGUAGAAUAAUAAGUAAUUAUCACACCAUCAAUGAGACAACAUCAAUGACGAAAAUAAAUAGAUGAAAAAGUAUGCAAAAAUCAUCAACAAUAGAUAGAUGUGCAUAGAAUAAGUUAUAAAUCGCCAAGUGUGUUUCAAUAUUAUGCACAUAAAGCUGUUCAAUAUAGUUGCAAUAUUAAAACAUGUAACAAUGUGUCAUAGAGCACUUUUUAUAGUCAUUAGUAAACACAAUCUUAGCAUAUUAA